GCACGGAAGUUAGCCGAUCCUUAUUCUUACGGUACCGUCAAGCUCCUACACGUAGGAGGGUUUCUUCCUGUAUAAAAGCAGUUUACAAUCCAUAGGACCGUCUUCCUGCACGCGGCAUGGCUGGUUCAGUCUUGCGACCAUUGACCAAUAUUCCUCA
rnacentral:rRNA from 1 species